rnacentral:rRNA from 1 species
CCUACGGGUGGCUGCAGUGGGGAAUAUUGCACAAUGGGCGCAAGCCUGAUGCAGCCAUGCCGCGUGUGUGAAGAAGGCCUUCGGGUUGUAAAGCACUUUCAGCGGGGAGGAAGGCGGUGAGGUUAAUAACCUCAUCGAUUGACGUUACCCGCAGAAGAAGCACCGGCUAACUCCGUGCCAGCAGCCGCGGUAAUACGGAGGGUGCAAGCGUUAAUCGGAAUUACUGGGCGUAAAGCGCACGCAGGCUGUCUGUCAAGUCGGAUGUGAAAUCCCCGGGCUCAACCUGGGAACUGCAUUCGAAACUGGCAGGCUAGAGUCUUGUAGAGGGGGGUAGAAUUCCAGGUGUAGCGGUGAAAUGCGUAGAGAUCUGGGGGAAUACCGGUGGCGAAGGCGGCCCCCUGGACAAAGACUGACGCUCAGGUGCGAAAGCGUGGGGAGCAAACAGGAUUAGAUACCCGUGUAGUC